CUGAGAGAGUCAGUGUCGGCCUCCACAGGACCAACGUUGCACUGAAGCUGCAAUAACCAUUAGAGGAAAUGAAGCAAAGGAAACUCCACAGCUGACGGCACACAUCUGAAUGCAGGAUGUUGCAUGUUCAACUAUUCCAUAGUUGCAACAUCUGUUCUCAAAAAGAUCUUUCGUACGGACGGCGUGCUGCACGCCGCCAUGGAUUUCGGCAGGCUGACGGGGAAGCACGGCGUGAGGAUCGCGCUGAGCCCCUCGUACUCGGUGGAGGACUGCAGUCUGGCCGUGGGGAAGCUGGUGGGCCACCGCAGCGUGAAGUCCGCAGCGCGCAUGAACAACGCGGUGGUCAUCUUCCUCGACAGCGUGGAGAAGUCGGACGCGGUGGUGGUCAGCGGGAUUGCCGUGCACGGCGCGCUCGUGCCCGUUCUGCCUCUCCCCACGCCGGCGGUGAGAGUGACGGUGUCGAACGUCCCCCCGUUCAUCGGGGACGAGGCUCUGGUCAAGGAGCUGUCAAAGUAUGGGAAGGUGUUGUCUCCCGUAAAGAAGGUCUCUUCGGGGUGCAAGUCCCCGCUGCUGAGACACGUGGUGUCACACAAAAGGCAACUCCUCAUGGUCCUCAAGACAGGACCAAGGAGCUCAACCUGAUGUUUGGAGUCGAAGUGGAGGACUUUGUGCAUGUGGUGUUUGCCACUUCUGACAAUAUGAACUGUUUCAGGUGUGGCAGAAAAGGACAUCUCGCCAGAACAUGUCCGGGAAAGGACUCUGCCGAGAGUGCAGAAGAACGAGGUGUGGAGGAUCGGGACGGUCAGGGAAGACAGGAGAAGACAGGUGGGGUACAACAGGAGGGAAAGGAGGGACGGGAAGAGUCAGGUGGGAUCAAGCAGGCGGCUGAGAACGGACAGCAGGGGACUGGUGGGGUCCAGCAGGGUGGGGAGGCGAGUGAUGGGGGCCAGGAAGGGACAAGUGGAGGACAAAAGGUAGGGUGAAUGUGUGGGGAGCGGACAAGUGAAGUCCAGCGGGAGAGUGAGGUGUGUGAGAGGGGAGAAGAUGGGGGGCGUGGUGGAGUCCAGCCGGCCCGCCAGGGGGGCAACAG
ensembl:lncRNA